AUAUUCGCUGUGUGCGCUGGUAUACUAUAGCGGAAAAGUAGGACUUAGAGCGCCCAUGGUGGCCGGAAUUUGCAUUAUUUGCUGGAGUUUUCUAAUACAUCGUAAUGGAAAAAUUGCGGAAAGGAAAUUUAAAUUGUUGCGUGAACACGUGUAAGAAUGUAUUUCACAAUACAAGUUCAGAAAUAAAAUUUUAUUCCUUUCCAAAAGCGAUUUAUAAAAUUGAGCAGCGAAAAAUGUGGAUACGUUGGGUACAAAAAAUAAAAAUACGGGCCUCACCUCCAAUAUCAAUAAAAUUAUGCUUAAUCGACAUGUGACUACGGGGCAUGUACAUGUCGCUACAUUUCAUCGAUAUGACAGGUAAAACCUAAAUAGUUGUCAACUUUAACGAUUAAUAUCUCGCUUCGCGAGGCAGACUGCCGCGUUUUUCUUCCAGAUUCUUUCGUUUCGUGUAAAAACGCGUCAAUAAUGUAUUUUGAAUAAAUAAUCAAAACAA